GGGUGUGAAUUAGCGGCGAACGGGUGAGGAACACGUGAAGAAUCUGCCUUCAACUCUGGGAUAACUCCGGGAAACCGGGGCUAAUACCGGAUAUGAGCCUUGAUCGCAUGAUCGGGGCUGGAAAGUUUUUCGGUUGAAGAUGACUUCGCGGCCUAUCAGCUUGUUGGUGAGGUAAUGGCUCACCAAGGCGACGACGGGUAGCCGGCCUGAGAGGGCGACCGGCCACACUGGGACUGAGACACGGCCCAGACUCCUACGGGAGGCAGCAGUGGGGAAUAUUGGGCAAUGGAGGAAACUCUGACCCAGCGACGCCGCGUGAGGGAUGAAGGCCUUCGGGUUGUAAACCUCUUUCAGUAGGGAAGAAGCGAAAGUGACGGUACCUACAGAAGAAGCACCGGCUAACUAUGUGCCAGCAGCCGCGGUAAUACAUAGGGUGCAAGCGUUGUCCGGAAUUAUUGGGCGUAAAGAGCUCGUAGGUGGUUCGAUACGUCGGAUGUGAAAAUCAGGGGCUCAACCCCUGACCUGCAUCCGAUACGGUCGAGCUAGAGUUUGGUAGGGGAGACUGGAAUUCCUGGUGUAGCGGUGGAAUGCGCAGAUAUCAGGAGGAACACCGAUGGCGAAGGCAGGUCUCUGGGCCAAUACUGACACUGAGGAGCGAAAGCGUGGGGAGCGAACAGGAUUAGAUACCCUGGUAGUCCACGCCGUAAACGGUGGGCGCUAGUUGUGCGAACCUUCCACGGUUUGUGCGACGCAGCUAACGCAUUAAGCGCCCCGCCUGGGGAGUACGAUCGCAAGAUUAAAACUCAAAGGAAUUGACGGGGCCCCGCACAAGCAGCGGAGCAUGCGGCUUAAUUCGACGCAACGCGAAGAACCUUACCAAGGCUUGACAUAUACAGGAAUAUGGCAGAGAUGUCAUAGCCGCAAGGUCUGUAUACAGGUGGUGCAUGGUUGUCGUCAGCUCGUGUC
rnacentral:rRNA from 1 species